rnacentral:rRNA from 1 species
GACGAACGCUGGCGGCAUGCCUAACACAUGCAAGUCGAACGAGACCUUCGGGUCUAGUGGCGCACGGGUGCGUAACGCGUGGGAAUCUGCCCUUGGGUGCGGAAUAACAGUUAGAAAUGACUGCUAAUACCGCAUAAUGACUCCGGUCCAAAGAUUUAUCGCCCAGGGAUGAGCCCGCGUCGGAUUAGCUAGUUGGUAGGGUAAAAGCCUACCAAGGCAACGAUCCGUAGCUGGUCUGAGAGGAUGAUCAGCCACACUGGGACUGAGACACGGCCCAGACUCCUACGGGAGGCAGCAGUGGGGAAUAUUGGACAAUGGGCGAAAGCCUGAUCCAGCAAUGCCGCGUGAGUGAUGAAGGCCUUAGGGUUGUAAAGCUCUUUUACCCGGGAUGAUAAUGACAGUACCGGGAGAAUAAGCUCCGGCUAACUUCGUGCCAGCCGCCGCAGUAAAAC